AUAAGCUCGGGCAACAACACACGGAAUUAGCUGACGCAGGUGACCUACCGAUUCAGCUCAGGCAAUCUCCUUGACGACUCCACUACCACCCAUCUCUACACAACACCUACAUCACCUCACUGAACAUCUGCAUACAGACCCAAAUGGGAAAUAAGACAUGCCCCCAAAUCAAGUUCCCAGUUCUUAAGAUAAUACAUACAGAAAAUCAAAUGAUUUAACCACACCUGAUGUAUCCCGUGGUGGUUGCUUCUCUCUCACUUCCAGGUUGUUUAGCAUGAUAAGAAUUAGUGCUGACAAACUGAAGGACUAGAAGGUAUACAAUCAAAAGGGGAACAGAAUGUAUAGCCAGCGGCUAGAUCGAGGAUUUCAUUUUGGGGGAUCGGCGAGUGGAGAGAGGGAGAGGCGUCGACGCCACGCGUGGGAUUGGAACUAGCGGCGACUCGGCGUCGCACCCCGGCGGAUUUCUGGAUCAAUCUUCCCCAUGGAUGAGACGAU
rnacentral:lncRNA from 1 species